rnacentral:lncRNA from 1 species
CCUUUUAAUAUCAAUUAGGGUUUGUUGUAACUGAUAGCUAGGGAUUGUGGUGCCAACAUAAUUGGAAUCCUUUCUCUUUAAUAUGAUGCUUUUGCAAGCCUUUUUUUUAAUAAAAAAAUAAAUAUAAUUUUUGGAAUUAUCCUAAACACAUCCUUAAAAUUAAGAGGAAAAUUUAAAAUUAUUAUUAAGGAAUCUAUAUAUCGUGCGUGAUUCCAAAGGUAGGCUGUCAUCCCCGUAUAUUGUUCUAGCUACGGACUAGGGAUAGAACAUCGCAUGUAGCUGACUUUCCAGGUGCCAUUGUUUAGCAGCUCCUAUAUAAUGGAGCCAGGAGGGGUUCAAACGGACAUAGAUGCAAUAUACCUAAGAGCCACAGUAUUCACUAUAAAUCCUUUAUUUAAUUAAUUACUGUGAUCAUACACAGUAAAAAGAUUAAAUUAAAAAGCAACACUUAAAUGAUUUCUGUUUCAAAAAGAUAACAAAUAUACUUAUGUUAUAAAAGAAAGUUUAAUGUUUAUGCAUUAAUUGUAAUUUAUUGUAUAAAUUACUUUAAGAUAAUUAUUUUAAAAAGUUAUUAUACAUCAUGAAUUAAUUCAAUGUCAUUAAUAUUAUUGAGUUUGGAUCGAAUUCAAAUAACUAAAGAAAUAAAAAUUAGUAUAGACUAAAUUAUCAUAAAAAUAGAGAUUUAGAUAAACCCGAUCAAACACGUACCCCGACUCUUUGAUAUGUCAAUUUCAAAACCCUCAUAUACUAUAUUACUAUUCAUGAUGACACCUAUUGAUAAUUAGCUAAUUAAAGGAAAAGAAAAACACCAAUCUUGAUACGAAUCUUUGCAAAUUGAUCUUUAUCCAUUAGUUUUGGAUUCACGGGAGACACGAGGGCAUUUCAUUCAUAUUUGGAGAGAUUAAUUAAUCAUCAUCUUCAUGAUAUAUAAACUCACCCAUAUAAAUAUAAUAAAGAGCUAGAUGAUCAUUGCUCCACAGGAUACAGCUCAGCUCAUGAAAAAUUCUUAAUUUAUAGUAUAUGCUUAUGCAGAUCUAAACUUUGAGGGGAGGGGUAUACUUUCUAAGAAAAUUAAUUAAUGCAUGAAACUUAGGGAAUAAAUAAAAUUAACCACUUUUAAUUCAAUAAUCAAUAUAUCAGAGAUUUCCUCUUCCCAUUGGCUCUACAAAUUUAAUAACAAUAUUUAUGCGCUUGUGCUCAGGGGAGAAAGCUUGCUCAAUUACACUGCAUAUCUUAUUCAUACCUUCACUGCUCGAGAGAGCAUGAUAAAAGAAAAGAUUAACGUACAUGAAUUGGGAAAUAGAUAUCUGUAGCCUUUAUUCUAAUCUGAAUAGAAUCUUCUUUAAAUUAGUUGUUCAUUCUAAAUUAAUUAAUCCCUUUCCCUAUUUUGCUUCACACACACACACACACACACAUAUAUAUAUAUAUAUAUAUAUAUAUAUAUAUAUAUAUAUAAAUGUCAAGGUAUGGUGGUAAAAUUUAAGGAGGAAAUAUAUAGUCUGAAUUCAUGAACUUAUAAGAAAAAGAAAUUAAAACCCAUAUAUCCACUAUAUAUAAAUUAAGACAAUUGAACAAUCAACAAUUACUAUUAUCAAUAUCCUCUACUGAGAGAUAAUUUGAUUGGAGUAAGAUCAUUAUGAAUUAUAAAAAAAAUUCUUUAAGUACUUAACACAAUUAUACAUAUCUACUUAAAAACAACUAUACAUAUCAAGUACUCCAACUCAUAAUGAUUAAGCACUGGGAGUGACUUGAAGAACCUCAAUACCUUAUAUCAGUUAAUCUAAGCAGUUGAUGAUAAAUUAACUUGCAUGUGAUCACGCCUAUCCGUAUUUGCAUUCUUGUUUGGUUGCAUAAAUUAAGCCAUCCGGCCUGCUUGUUAUUUUGUGUGUGAAUUGACUGAAACCUUUGGCAGACAAAUUAAAACACAAGGAAUUAAAAUGCAAGAGGUUCUUAUACCUUGGCUAUAACUCAGACAAGUUGGGAAGUGGAAGCUACGUAUAAUUGAACAGAAGCCCAGGAAAGAUGACAACUACUGCUAAUUCAAGUUUGCUAUGCAGCUAUACCUAUAACAGACAGGAGUCCCUAAACUUUCUUCUAUAAACACUUUUCUCUAUCUCCCAUGCAUGCUUCUAUUUCUUAAAUAGAAAGCCCAUAUUUAUAGGAAAAAAAGGUUCUAUU